AUACGGAGGGUGCAAGCGUUAAUCGGAAUUACUGGGCGUAAAGCGCGCGUAGGCGGUUAUUUAAGUCAGAUGUGAAAUCCCUGGGCUCAACCUAGGAACUGCAUCUGAUACUGGGUAACUAGAGUUUUGGAGAGGUAAGUGGAAUUUCCGGUGUAGCGGUGAAAUGCAUAGAGAUCGGAAGGAACACCAGUGGCGAAGGCGACUUACUGGCCAAAAACUGACGCUGAGGUGCGAAAGCGUGGGUAGCAAACAGGAUUAGAAACCCUAGUAGUCC
rnacentral:rRNA from 1 species